rnacentral:rRNA from 1 species
GCUGCAACUCGCCUACAUGAAGUCGGAAUUGCUAGUAAUCGCGGAUCAGCAUGCCGCGGUGAAUACGUUCCCGGGCCUUGUACACACCGCCCGUCACACCAUGGGAGUCGGUAACACCCGAAGCCUGUAGUCUAACCGCAAGGAGGACGCAGUCGAAGGUGGGAUUGAUGACUGGGGUGAAGUCGUAACAAGGUAGC